rnacentral:lncRNA from 1 species
CUGGUAAUUAACACAUUAUUUUAGGUGCAGGUGGCACAGAUUUUCUCCCUUCUCUAUUGACAUUCUUGUUUGUUUCCUUUGCUGUGAAGAAGCUUUUUAAGUGAUACCAGCUCAUUUAUUGAUUUUUUAUUUUACUUCUUGCUCUUUAGGAGUCUAGUUGAGAAAGUCAGUUCCUAAGCCAACAUGAUGGGACUACAUUUCCUUCUAGUAGAUGCAAGGUUUCUGGUCUAAUACCUAAGUCCUUGAUCCACUUUUAGUUGAGUUUUGUGCAGGGUGAGAUAUAGGAGUUCAAUUUCAAUCUACUACAUAUGGAUUUCUAGUUUUUCCAACACCGCUUGUUGAAGAGGCUAUCUUUUCUCCAAUGUAUGUUUUUGGUGCCUUUGUCUAGUAUAAUAUAACUAUUUAUGUGCAUUUGUCUCUGUGUCUUCUAUCUAUUCCAUUGCUCUUCAUGCCUGUUUUGGUGCUAAUUCCAUGCUGGUUUUGUUACUAUAGUUCUGUGUAUAAUUAAGGUGUUGUAUUCUGAUUCCUCCUGCUUUACUUUUCUCACUAAGGAUUGCUUUACCUAAUCUGGGCCUCUUAUUUUUCCAAAUGAAUUUUAUGAAUGCUUUUUCUAUUUUUAUGAAGAAUAAUGAGAAUUUUAAGAGGAAUUGCAUUAAAUCUGUAUAGUUCUUUUGGUAGUAUGGCCAUUUUGAUAAUAUUAAUUCUGCCUAUCUGAGAACAUGGGAGAUCUUUCCAUCUUCUGAGGUCUUCUUCUAUUUCUUUCCUUAGUGUUCUGUAGUUUUCAUUGUUAGAUUGAUUCCCAAGUCGUUUUGUUUUGUUAUUUUUUAGACUAUUGUGAAUGGGAUAGUUUUCUUAAUUUCUCUUUCAGUUGACUCAUCAUUGGUGUAUAGGAACACAAUUGAUUUAUGAAUGUCAAUUUUUGUAUUCUGUUAUUUUGUGGAAUGUAUUUAUGAGUUCUAGAAGUUUUCUGGUGGAAUUUUUUUUUUUUUUGGUCUUCUAAAUUAGGCUCAUGUAAUUGGCAAACAGAGAUAGUUUGAGUUCUUCUUUUCCUGUUUGUAUCUCUUUAAUUUCUUUCUUUUGCCUAAAUGCUCUGGCUAGAGUUUCAAGGACUAUGUUGAACAGAAAUGGUGACAGAGAGCAUCCCUAUCUUGUUCCAGUUUUUAGAAGGAAUGCUUUCAGAUUUUUCUCCUUUUAGAAUGACAUUGGCCUUGUUUUUUUGUAUGUAGAUUUUGCAAUGUUGAGGUUUAUUCCUAUUAUCCCUAGUUUUUCUAGAGUUUUAAACAUGAAUGGAUGCUAUAUUUUGUCAAAUGCUUUUUUUGCAUCUAUUAAGAUAAUCAUGUGAGGGGCUGGGGUUGUGUCUCAGUGAUAGAGCACUCGCCUAACAUGUGUGAGGCACUGGGUUCGAUUCUCAGCACCACAUAAAAAUAAGAUAAAGGUAUUGUGUGUAUCUACAACUAAAAAAUAAAAAUAUUUUUUAAAAGAGAAUCAUGUGAUUCUUGUCUUAAAGUCUAUUUAUAGGGUGAAUUACAUUUAUUGAUUUCUGUGUGUUGACUAACCUUGCAUCCCUGGGAUGAAACUCCCAUAAUCAUGGUGCACUAUCUUUUUAAUAUUUUUUUGUAUGCGAUUUGCCAGGAUUUUAUUAAGAAUAAUUGUUUCUAUGUUCAUCAGGGAUAUUGGUCUGAAGUUUUCUUUUCUUGAUGUGUCUUUGUCUUGUUUAGAUAUCAGGGUGAUACUAGAUUCACAGAAUGAGUUUGAAAGGGUUCCCUCCUUUUAUAUUUCAUGGAAUAAUUUGAGGAAGGUUGAUAUAAGUUCUUCUUUAAAUGUCUGGAAGAACUCAGCUGAGAAUACAUCUAGUCCUGGGCUUUUCUUUGUUGGUAGGCUUUUGAUGGUGUCUUCAAUUUUAUUACUUGAAAUGGAUUUGUUUAAAUUUUCUAUAUUUUCUUGGUUUAAUUUGGGUAGAUCAUAUGUCUCUAGAAAUUUGUCAAUAUCUUCAUGAUUUUCUACCUUAUUCAAGUAUAAAUUUUCAAAAUCAUUUCUGAAUAUCCUCUAUAUUUCAGUAGUGUCUAUGGUGAUAUUUACUUUUUCAUCACAAAUUUUACUAAUUUAAGUUUUUCCUUCUUCCUCUUGAUUAGCUUGACUAAGUGUUUAUCAAUUUUAUUUAUUUUCUCAAAGAAUCAACUUUUGGGGGGGUACUGGGGAUUGAACUCGGGGAUACUCUACCACUAAGCCACAUCCCCAGCCCUAUUUUAUAUUUUAUUUAGAGAUAGAGUCUCAUUGAGUUGCUUAGCACCUCACUUUUACUGAUGCUGGCUUUGAACUCGGGAUUCUCCUGCCUCAGCCUCCCGAGCCGCUGGGAUUAUAGGCAUACACUACUGUGCCCAGCCCAACUUUUUUGUUUCAUUAACUUUUGUAAAUAUUUUAUUUCAAUUUCAUUGAACUCAGCUCUGAUUUUAAUAAUUUCCUUUCCUGUACUGAUUUUGGUGUUG